UGAGUAACCUGCCCUUAACUCUGGGAUAAGCCUGGGAAACUGGGUCUAAUACCGGAUAUGACUCCUCAUCGCAUGGUGGGGGGUGGAAAGCUUUAUUGUGGUUUUGGAUGGACUCGCGGCCUAUCAGCUUGUUGGUGAGGUAAUGGCUCACCAAGGCGACGACGGGUAGCCGGCCUGAGAGGGUGACCGGCCACACUGGGACCGAGACACGGCCCAGACUCCUACGGGAGGCAG
rnacentral:rRNA from 1 species